rnacentral:rRNA from 1 species
UACGAACUGUGCAAACGUUAUUCGGAAUCACUGGGCUUAAAGGGUGCGUAGGCGGCUAUCUAAGCAGGGUGUGAAAGCCCCCGGCUCAACCGGGGAAUUGCGUUCUGAACUGGAUGGCUGGAGUGAGAUAGGGGUGUGUGGAACUUCCGGUGGAGCGGUGAAAUGCGUAGAUAUCUGCAGGAACACCCGUGGCGAAAGCGGCGCGCUGGACCACUACUGACGCUGAGGAACGAAAGCUAGGGGAGCAAACAGG